rnacentral:snRNA from 1 species
GGAUGUGAGGGUGAUCUGGCUGCGACAUCUGUCACCCAUUGAUCACCAGGGUUGAUUCAGCUGAUCUGGCUGGCUAGGCAGGUGUCCCCUUCCUCCCUCAGCCCUCCAUGUACAUCCCUCCCAAAGCUGUGUGCUCGGUAAAAGAGGAUGGCCUUUCCCAAAUAGAGACAGACCAGUCUUCGGUUGAGGGUCUACGAGUAGCUGCACUCCCCUGCUAGAACCUCCAAACAAGCUCUCAACAUAUAAAGCAGAUGUUAUGCAUGUACAAACUAUUGAAUUUACUGUUGAAUGUAAAACAUUAAUU